GGAGGGUAUAGCUCAGUGGUAGAGCGCAUGCCUAGCAUGCAUGAGGUCCUGGGUUCAAUCCCCAGUAUCUCCA
rnacentral:tRNA from 1 species